rnacentral:rRNA from 1 species
AUUGAACGCUGGCGGCAGGCCUAACACAUGCAAGUCGAGCGGAUGAAGGGAGCUUGCUCCUGGAUUCAGCGGCGGACGGGUGAGAAAUGCCUAGGAAUCUGCCUGGUAGUGGGGGAUAACGUCCGGAAACGGGCGCUAAUACCGCAUACGUCCUGAGGGAGAAAGUGGGGGAUCUUCGGACCUCACGCUAUCAGAUGAGCCUAGGUCGGAUUAGCUAGUUGGUGGGGUAAAGGCCUACCAAGGCGACGAUCCGUAACUGGUCUGAGAGGAUGAUCAGUCACACUGGAACUGAGACACGGUCCAGACUCCUACGGGAGGCAGCAGUGGGGAAUAGUGGGCAAUGGGCGAAAGCCUGAUCCAGCCAUGCCGCGUGUGUGAAGAAGGUCUUCGGAUUGUAAAGCACUUUAAGUUGGGAGGAAGGGCAGUAAGUUAAGACCUUGCUGUUUUGACGUUACCAACAGAAUAAGCACCGGCUAACUUCGUG